rnacentral:tRNA from 1 species
GCGCCCGUAGCUCAGCUGGAUAGAGCAACAGCCUUCUAAGCUGUGGGUCAGAGGUUCGAAUCCUCUCGGGCGCACCA